rnacentral:rRNA from 1 species
UACGGAGGGUGCAAGCGUUGUCCGGAUUUAUUGGGUUUAAAGGGUGCGUAGGCGGCCCGUUAAGUCAGUGGUGAAAGCCUCCAGCUCAACUGGAGAACUGCCAUUGAUACUGACGGGCUUGAGUACAGACGAGGUUGGCGGAAUUGAUUGUGUAGCGGUGAAAUGUAUAGAUACAAUCAAGAACUCCGAUUGCGUAGGCAGCUAACUAGGCUGUAACUGACGCUGAGGCACGAAAGCGUGGGGAGCGAACAGG